rnacentral:tRNA from 1 species
UCCCUGGUGGUCUAGUGGUUAGGAUUUAGCACUUUCAUUGCUGUGGCCUGGCUUCCAUCCCUUGUCUGGGAA